rnacentral:rRNA from 1 species
UUUAAUUCGAAGUCAACGCGAAGAACCUUACCAGGUCUUGACAUCCCGAUUGCUAUUUCUAGAGAUAGAAAGUUACUUCGGUACAUCGGUGACAGGUGGUGCAUGGUUGUCGUCAGCUCGUGUCGUGAGAUGUUGGGUUAAGUCCCGCAACGAGCGCAACCCCUAUUGUUAGUUGCCAUCAUUCAGUUGGGCACUCUAGCGAGACUGCCGGUAAUAAACCGGAGGAAGGUGGGGAUGACGUCAAAUCAUCAUGCCCCUUAUGACCUGGGCUACACACGUGCUACAAUGGUUGGUACAACGAGUUGCGAGUCGGUGACGGCGAGCUAAUCUCUUAAAGCCAAUCUCAGUUCGGAUUGUAGGCUGCAACUCGCCUACAUGAAGUCGGAAUCGCUAGUAAUCGCGGAUCAGCACGCCCGCGGUCGAAUACGUUCCCGGGCCUU